rnacentral:pre_miRNA from 1 species
ACCGCCUAAGGAUCUUGUUAAAAUGCAGAUUCUGAUUCAUUUAGUAGGUCUAGGAGGGACCUGAGAUCCUGCCUUUUUAACAAGUUCCUAGGUGAUGCCUA